GACGAACGCUGGCGGCGUGCCUAAUACAUGCAAGUCGAACGCAGUUGGGCCGGGUGAGUAACACGUGGGUAAGCUGCCCAUCAGAGGGGAUACCACUUGGAAACAGGUACUAAACCGAUACUGAUGGAUGGACCCGGGGUGCAUUCGCUAGUUGGUGGGGGAACGGCUCACCAAGGCCACGAUGCAUAGCGGACCUGAGAGGGUGAUCGGCCACACUGGGACUGAGACACGGCCCAGACUCCUACGGGAGGCAGCAGUAGGGAAUCUUCGGCAAUGGACGAAAGUCUGAUGGAGCAAUGCCGCGUGAGUGAAGAAGGUUUUCGGAUUGUAAAACUCUGUUGUUAGAGAAGCGGUAUCUAACCAGAAAGCCACGGCUAACUACGUGCCAGCAGCCGCGGUAAUUC
rnacentral:rRNA from 1 species